rnacentral:misc_RNA from 1 species
GUGAAUCAUCGAAUCUUUGAACGCAAAUUGCACUUUCUGGUAUUCCGGAAAGUAUGUCUGUUUGAGGGUCAGUUAAAUAAAAAUCGGUGUUGUUGCUGCCUUUCGUGGUGACGCGUCGGAAUUGGGUCGUCUUACUUUCGGUUAAGUGACUUAAAAUUUUUGCAUGAUUUUCGAACGUAUUUUAAUCUCUUACGUACGUUUAAGUUAACGGAUGCUUAUUAGCUUCGGUUAUUCCCAU